GGGCUUGACAUCCCACGAACCUGCCCGAAAGGGUCGGGUGCCCGCAAGGGAGCGUGGAGACAGGUGGUGCAUGGCUGUCGUCAGCUCGUGUCGUGAGAUGUUGGGUUAAGUCCCGCAACGAGCGCAACCCUCACCCCUUGUUGCCACCGGGUCAUGCCGAGCACUCUAGGGGAACUGCCAGCGUCAAGCUGGAGGAAGGCGGGGAUGACGUCAAGUCAUCAUGCCCCUUACGCCCUGGGCAACACACGUGCUACAAUGGCUGGUACAAAGGGACGCAAGACCGCGAGGUGGAGCUAAUCCCAAAAAACCAGUCUAAGUUCAGAUUGCAGUCUGCAACUCGACUGCAUGAAGGAGGAAUCGCUAGUAAUCGCGCAUCAGCACGGCGCGGUGAAUACGUUCCCGGGCCUUGUACACACCGCCCGUCACACCACGAAAGCCGGCUGUACUCGAAGUCGCUGAG
rnacentral:rRNA from 1 species